rnacentral:rRNA from 1 species
CAGCAGCCACGGGAAUACAGAGGGUGCGAGCGUUAAUCGGAUUUACUGGGCGUAAAGCGUGCGUAGGCGGCUUCUUAAGUCGGAUGUGAAAUCCCUGAGCUUAACUUAGGAAUUGCAUUUGAUACUGGGAAGCUAGAGUAUGGGAGAGGAUGGUAGAAUUCCAGGUGUAGCGGUGAAAUGCGUAGAGAUCUGGAGGAAUACCGAUGGCGAAGGCAGCCAUCUGGCCUAAUACUGACGCUGAGGUACGAAAGCAUGGGGAGCAAACAGGAUUAGAUACCCCCGUAGUCCCUGUCUCUUAUAC